AAGGGUAAAAUCUGUUGAUAUCAGGAAGACUUUCAAUAGCGAAAGCAUUUACCGAUUUGGUUCUGACGCUCAGGUACUAAAGCAUGGGGAUCAAAGAGGAUUAGAGACCCUCGUAGUCCAUGCCUUAAACAAUGAGUGUCAACGUC
rnacentral:rRNA from 1 species